rnacentral:rRNA from 1 species
AAAAAAGGUAAGCUACUAAGAGCGAAUGGUGGAUGCCUUGACUGGUAAAGGCGAUGAAGGACGUACUAGACUGCGAUAAGCUACGGGGAGCUGUCAAGAAGCUUUGAUCCGUAGAUUUCCGAAUGGGGCAACCCAAUGUAUAGAGAUAUACAUUACCUAUAUAGGAGCGAACGAGGGGAAUUGAAACAUCUUAGUACCCUCAGGAAAAGAAAUCAAUAGAGAUUGCGUCAGUAGCGGCGAGCGAAAGCGCAAGAGGGCAAACCCAGUGCUUGCACUGGGGGUUGUAGGACUGCAAUGUGCAAGAGCUGAGUUUAGCAGAACAUUCUGGAAAGUAUAGCCAUAGAGGGUGAUAGUCCCGUAUGCGAAAAACAAAGCUUAGCUAGCAGUAUCCUGAGUAGGGCGGGACACGAGGAAUCCUGUCUGAAUCCGGGUCGACCACGAUCCAACCCUAAAUACUAAUACCAGAUCGAUAGUGCACAAGUACCGUGAGGGAAAGGUGAAAAGAACUGAGGUGAUCAGAGUGAAAUAGAACCUGAAACCAUUUGCUUACAAUCAUUCAGAGCACUAUGUAGCAAUACAGUGUGAUGGACUGCCUUUUGCAUAAUGAGCCUGCGAGUUGUGGUGUCUGGCAAGGUUAAGCAAACGCGAAGCCGUAGCGAAAGCGAGUCUGAAUAGGGCGCUUAGUCAGAUGCUGCAGACCCGAAACGAAGUGAUCUAUCCAUGAGCAAGUUGAAGCUAGUGUAAGAACUAGUGGAGGACUGAACCCAUAGGCGUUGAAAAGCCCCGGGAUGACUUGUGGAUAGGGGUGAAAGGCCAAUCAAACUUCGUGAUAGCUGGUUCUCUCCGAAAUAUAUUUAGGUAUAGCGUUGUGUCGUAAUAUAAGGGGGUAGAGCACUGAAUGGGCUAGGGCAUACACCAAUGUACCAAACCCUAUCAAACUCCGAAUACCUUAUAUGUAAUCACAGCAGUCAGGCGGCGAGUGAUAAAAUCCGUCGUCAAGAGGGAAACAACCCAGACUACCAGCUAAGGUCCCUAAAUCUUACUUAAGUGGAAAACGAUGUGAAGUUACUUAAACAACCAGGAGGUUGGCUUAGAAGCAGCCAUCCUUUAAAGAAAGCGUAAUAGCUCACUGGUCUAGUGAUUUUGCGCGGAAAAUAUAACGGGGCUAAAGUAAGUACCGAAGCUGUAGACUUGCGCACAACUUAGAUUAUUUAAGUUUAGAAUAUGAGAAACUAAGUUAUGUUUAGUUAUAUUUUUACUGAUUUUUAUAGAGUAAAGAUAGAAAUAAAACUUAGUAAAAUCAGUAAAAAUAUUCUUAGGCUAAAGUUAAGUAGUUUAAGUUGUGUGCAAGUGGUAGGAGAGCGUUCUAUUUGCGUCGAAGGUAUACCGGUAAGGAGUGCUGGAGCGAAUAGAAGUGAGCAUGCAGGCAUGAGUAGCGAUAAUUAAUGU